CUCACCCUUCUCCUGAAAGAAAGAAAAGAUGCGAAGAACCCUAGUGGCGUAGCCCCCAGCCCCGUAGCACACAGCCGCCGUAGCCACGCAGCCCCACAGCCCCGCAUAGCCCACCGCCACCGCAUCUCCUCUCCUCUGUUUGAGCUCUCUCUGUUUUCGCCGUGUCGCGCCGUCACUCCCCCUUCCUCUUCGCCGCCGAGCUUAAAGGUUUUGAGAACAAGCGAAGAGGUGAACUGAAAGUAAUAAAAGUUUUCCAGGCUGAGCUAUUUGACAAGUUUCUCCAUGGCUCAACCUUAGAUGAAUGCUAUUCAGCUAUUGCUGUUGUGGCAGGCUUGAUCUUCUUGAUGUGUGCUAAAGUUUCAUGUUAAUUUUUGUAUUAAGAGCAUUGAGAUUUUUUUUUAAUUUAGUUUGUUGAGGAUAUAUUUGGCCAUGAUUGGAUAUAAUCUUCCAUGA